CUUCAUAUCUGAUUGCUUUCUUACAGCCUUUUGACCCUACCAUGGCCUCUAAUCUAAAAGUCAUCUUCCUGUUUCUUUGGUCGCUUCUCUGUGAAGAGACAGGGUACACCGAGACCUCCUAUGGGUGGGACAUCCUCAUUACCUUUACCGCUCUUCUGGCUGCACUGAGCAUCACUGCAACAGCUCUGCUCGUGUGGAAAAGAAAGGCAAGUUAUUAGCAAAUAAAAACCAAUACCUGACGUGACCCAUUCUAGGAAUUUAUUUCUCUUGCUUCUAACUUGGCUGGAUUGGAACUCCCCGUGCUGAAAUUUUCCAUGCUGGGUGUCUGUCUCAGGUUUAUUUUCUUUUUUUUAAGUUCAGUCAUUCUGAGAAAAAAAGGUUACAGAAGAGACAAAGUGAGCUAUUGAUUUGUCCAUUAAAGGCAUUCUGGUAACCAUUUUGACUGUGGCGUGCUCUUCUUUAGAGCAAGGGUCUGACACAGGGCAAGAAGUCACACCGGCAGCGUGCUGGCCCCGAGAAUAUUCAAGCCUUGUGUUGGGUCUCUGGAAAUUUGCAGCUUGUGUGUGGCCGGCUGUGGCUCGUGUCAGUUUAUCAGCUCGGUUUUCUGAAGGAGCCCACGCGA
rnacentral:lncRNA from 1 species